rnacentral:lncRNA from 1 species
AUGAAAGUUUCAAAAUGGAAGUUAGGAAUUCUUUGUUUUAUAAGUGGAUGUGUAAUGUCUGGUCAGGUGGAUGCUUGUAUUCCUGAUAGAGUUCCAAUGGGACUCUUAAUCACAGAUUGCCCUUAUCCACAACUGAAAACUCUUGAGAUGCAGAGGACUCUUGCCCUAAAAAUCAUUCUUUCCUUUUCUUUUUUUCUACCCACAGAAGCCCCAAGACAGCAACCUGCUGAACCUGAACCAGCCCCAAGGCAACAAACUAGGAAAAGUAAAGGAGAACCAGGCGAACCACCUGAAGGAGAACCAGGUCCACCACCUGAAGGAGAACCAGGUCCACCACCUGAAGGUAAGUAAUAUGUCGAUCUCUAAACACUCCUUUCUUUCCCCGUUCCUUGAGGACCCUAGACCUUGUCUCUCAUUUGAAACCAUUUGGCACAUCCACGCUUAAAGUUCAGUACCAAGAAAGAGAGGGUAAUAAUGAACUAAGAGGGUGGUCAGCUUAAAAGGCUUUGUUUUCUCUUGCCAUUGCAUAGCUCUCAUAUUUCCACCAGAGAAUUUCCCAGAUCAAAAAUCCAAAAUGAUUUUGUCAUCUUUUCCCAAAGCAUAGUUUGCUUUUUUCCAUUGCCUAAUAUCCUAGAUCAAACAUUUCAAGAUCACAUUGUAAUAUGUAAUGCAAUGUUCUCUUCAUGUCUCUGCAGUGUGGGUAUUUCUCUCUCUCUUUCUCUGUGUUUUCACAGUCCCUCUGUGUCUGGUCUUUCUCUGAAUCGAUAUCUUUAUCUCUCUGUCUCUGUCUCGUUUUUUCUCUGCCUUUCUCUCCCUCUGUCUCUCUCUUUUCACACACACACACACACACACACACACACACACCAUACACACACACACAUU